ACUUCGUGAAGCUGGAUUCGCUAGUAAUCGCGCAUCAGCCACGGCGCGGUGAAUACGUUCCCGGGCCUUGUACACACCGCCCGUCAAGCCAUGGGAGCCGGGGGUACCUGAAGUACGUAACCGCAAGGAGCGUCCUAGGGUAAAACUGGUGACUGGGGCUAAGUCGUAACAAGGUACC
rnacentral:rRNA from 1 species